rnacentral:rRNA from 1 species
UACAGAGGGUGCGAGCGUUGUUCGGAAUUAUUGGGCGUAAAGGGCGCGUAGGCGGUGCGGUAAGUCACCUGUGAAAUCCCACGGCUCAACCGUGGAACUGCUGGGUAUACUGGUUGUCUUGAGCCAGCUAGGGGCGAGCGGAACAGACGGUGGAGCGGUGAAAUGCGUAGAUAUCGUCAGGAACGCCGAUGGUGAAGACAGGUGACUGGGCUAGUUCUGACACUGAGGCACGAAAGCGUGGGGAGCGAACGGG